AUUUUUAUGUUUGAACCAUAUUUAAAAAUGAAUUCAAAAAAAGACAGGCAAAUAAUCACAAGAUUUAGAACUAGCUGUCAUGAUCUUGAAAUCGAAAGAGGGAGGUAUAUUAGAAUUAAAGCUGAAGACGACAGAAAGUGUAAGCUAUGUAAGAACGCAGUUGAAGACGAACUACAUUUUCUUUUAAAAUGUCCUGUUCUAAAAGAUACUCGAUCUAUUUAAAUUCUAACUUUAAAAAUUUUUCAAGAUUAUCUGAUGAAAUGAAAUUUGUUUGGAUUCUUUCAUCUGAAGAUUUGUUUGUUAAUUCAAACUUAUCUAAUUUAUUGCACACACUUUAUGAAGAACGAAAGAAAAUUAUAGAAAAUAUUGUUGUUUGAAAAAA
rnacentral:lncRNA from 1 species